rnacentral:lncRNA from 1 species
GACUCCCAGGCAAAUCAAAAUGACACUUUCAAAAUAAAAUCAUGUUAAUAUGGGUUGCAAAUGCAACUUUAUUACCAAAUCAACUUUGGAAGUGCAGUCUGAAUGUGAAAAACCUGAUUGCUUGGGGAAAAAAACCAAAUAAUUACUAUCCUAAUAAGACUACAAUUAAGAUCACGUAGGACAGCAUUUAGGGAGCUUCUUCCUGCUUAUUUUCACCCUGUAUAUUAUUUAUGCCUGCAGGUUAGGUUAUAUCCCUAAAUAUAAUAUUUCUCACCAGAAACAGCACUGAGUAAUUGGAUGCUGCAG